GAUGGAUCGACGGGGGACCGUCAAAUCUCUUUCUCUUCUUUCUCCCGAUCUUCCAUCGGAGAGAAAAUCUAGGUCCUAACGAUUUCUAAUGGAAAUCUAGAAACUUCUCAAAAUUCACGUACAGUUCCGACGGAGUAGAUGGAUCGACGGAGGACGGAAAGUCCGGUGUACGCUCGGCAGUGGAGUGGAGGAUCAAGUAGUACAGGUUCAUCGUCGCCGGCGGGAUCGCCGGCUCAUCCCCGUGCUCGAUUGCCUCCUACGGUAACAGGAAUGUCUACUAUAAAGAGGACUCAGAAUGUGGCCGCCAAAGCUGCUGCUCAGCGUUUGGCACAAGUUAUGGCUUCUUCU
rnacentral:misc_RNA from 1 species